rnacentral:rRNA from 1 species
ACGACGCUGGCGGCGUGCCUAAUACAUGCAAGUCGAACGGUCUUUCUAUGGAAGCUUGCUUCCACUGAGAAGAUAGUGGCGGACGGGUGAGUAACACGUGGGUAACCUGCCCAUAAGAGGGGGAUAACAUCCGGAAACGGGUGCUAAUACCGCAUAGUUUUCUUGAUCGCAUGAUCGAGAAAGGAAAGACGGCCUUUGUGCUGUCGCUUAUGGAUGGACCCGCGGCGUAUUAGUUAGUUGGUGAGGUAAUGGCUCACCAAGACGAUGAUACGUAGCCGACCUGAGAGGGUGAUCGGCCACAUUGGGACUGAGACACGGCCCAAACUCCUACGGGAGGCAGCAGUAGGGAAUCUUCCGCAAUGGACGAAAGUCUGACGGAGCAACGCCGCGUGAGUGAAGGAAGGUUUUCGGAUCGUAAAACUCUGUUGUCAGAGAAGAACAAGUUGGAGAGUAACUGCUCCAGCCUUGACGGUAUCUGACCAGAAAGCCACGGCUAACUACGUGCCAGCCGCCGC